GAUGAACGCUGGCGGCGUGCCUAAUACAUGCAAGUCGAGCGAACGGACGAGAAGCUUGCUUCUCUGAUGUUAGCGGCGGACGGGUGAGUAACACGUGGAUAACCUACCUAUAAGACUGGGAUAACUUCGGGAAACCGGAGCUAAUACCGGAUAAUAUUUUGAACCGCAUGGUUCAAAAGUGAAAGACGCUCUUGCUGUCACUUAUAGAUGGAUCCGCGCUGCAUUAGCUAGUUGGUAAGGUAACGGCUUACCAAGGCAACGAUGCAUAGCCGACCUGAGAGGGUGAUCGGCCACACUGGAACUGAGACACGGUCCAGACUCCUACGGGAGGCAGCAGUAGGGAAUCUUCCGCAAUGGGCGAAAGCCUGACGGAGCAACGCCGCGUGGGUGAUGAAGGUCUUCGGAUCGUAAAACUCUGUUAUUAGGGAAGAACAUAUGUGUAAGUAACUGUGCACAUCUUGACGGUACCUAAUCAGAAAGCCACGGCUAACUACGUG
rnacentral:rRNA from 1 species